GCUCCCUAUGGUCCAUUGACCUAAAGAUAUCUGCAAACUUCAUCCAAGAGAAGAUGAAGAAGGAGACUAGAAUACUUUACAAUAACUAGAGACUCAUCUUUGAAAAGAUGAGAAACUGACUAGUAUUUUUUUUCCUGAUCUGUCAACCAACAUUCAGAGUUCAGAAUAUCACAGGCUUUGGCCCACAAAAUGCCAACAUAAAAGAUAGCUUUGCAUCAGGCUCCCUUGGCCACUGGGUCCUCCGCUGAGGCCCUGGCAUCUGUCAGCGAGGAACACUCCAAUCUGGGCUCCCUGCUGAGCUGAGAUGUGGCUGCCUCCCCCAAUAAAGGGCCACACCGCUCCUGAGCCAAAGCAUGGGACCAUCUGAUGCGAGUCUGGCCUAAUGAAAGUCCAGCAUGGGGCUAAAUGAGUUUCUACCACUGCUGGGUGAGGGGCUAAUGAUAAAACAGCUCCCUGGGCUCACUGCUGCUGUUGGUAUCUUUGUCAGGGCAUAUGGCAGUUGGCUGAAUGCCUUACUUGUGAGAUUUCCUAGCAGAUUUAUCCUGAGAAUGUGUUAUAUCUUCCCUUCUCCACCUCCCUUUGGCCUCCUCUUCAGCUCUUCUGUACUCUUGAGGGUCUCCUGAUUGUUGGGCCUUAAAGACUCUCUUUUUAUUUUGUAAAAUUGUGAAUUAAAAAAAAAAACUUGGAUGGCAAAACAGAAAAAUGGAAGAGAUAAUGAUAUUGACUUACAUCCAGUGGGUGGUUUUAUUUCCUUUGGAACAUUAUAAGCUAAAAGCAUAAAUUUCACAAGCCAGAGAAACAAUCAGCUUGAAACUUGUUGAAUACAGUAAUGCUACUCAAAAUUUUCUUUAUCAUGUGCUCUUUCC
rnacentral:lncRNA from 1 species